UUCAUCUUUUGGACAAUCGAUUUCAUCUUCUAAGAAACGUAUAUCAUAGAUUGGUAAUUUUUAUUCCAUAAGCUGUCAGAUUGAUGAUGUAUACAUUCAACAUCCGUAUGUUUGGGUUUGAAUAAUUGUCCGUCAAAAAAGUUGGUGAUUUUAAUUGUUGCUUUCAAUCUCACAUCAAAGAUUCUAAAUUUUGAUGUCACUAUGGUUUCCGCCGCAAAAGCCCCCUGCGUGCUGAACCGCUUCUCCCUCUCCUGUCACCACGAAGAUAAGUGAAUGACGACAAGAACGAAAGGAUAAAGUGGGAAUAUAGGACAUGAGAAGCACUGGUAUCGUUAACAGCUUUAGUUAGUGCGAAGAGAAAAGCUAAACAACUAAUCAUUUGUUAGAUUUGGGAUAGUUUAAUGUUUUACCAUCAUGUCUCUUGGUAAUGUGAAGUUAUGAAUCAGCUGUUUCAAGAAAAGUGACGUUCCAGAGUUACAUUUGUACCGGUGUUUGGCCAGCGUGUAAUACUAAUAUGCAUCCCAAUGGAUAGCUUAACAGUAACUUUAUGAUCACAUGGUUUGACCCUCUUGCACUAUAUCUCUCUUUCGCCCCAUUCACUAGCACAAAUCUCUCUGAUCUCAUAUAAUUUUGUUGUUAUUUGUAGAACCAUUUUAACGAUCAAAGCUCAUUGCUGUGUUCACGAAAUUUAAGCAGGUCUCUUGAUGGAAGCUUGACCGAUAGGUGAGUGUCCAUGCAGAUUUGACUCGAUGUUGUCUUUGAUAAUGAAAGAAUGAAGAACAAUAUCUUAUGAAGAUCACUAGGACCGCCAUAAGAAACCAGGACAAGCCGAAGUAAUCCUCUGCAGUCCAUGGCAAACCAAGCAUCUACAUCAAUCGGUGUCAGUUUACAGCACAAAGAUGCUUAGUGUUAUACGUUUCUCAGCUCACUCCAGGACUUAAUUGGAGCGGGCGAUGGAGAGAAUUAGGAGGAGAUUUUGUUUCUUGGUUUUGGUUUCUGGUCAGAGAAGCGAAGAUCAUUCUUAUUCAGGUCAUUUCUUGCUUUUAAAUGUUUCUCAGAUUUUGUUUCUGUAUCUGGUAUAGUGUUUCGAUUUAGAUUGUCAGCACUUGCCUUAAUUAAGUAUUGACAUGAUGCUCUAUCCACAGUCUGGAGUCAAGUAGAGUCAUGUUCUAUAGCGACUUAUGUUGUCCUCAUCUGAUUAUUGGAGUAUUACAAAAUGAUUACCAUACAAAAUGAAAGUAUCUCCAAUCAUUUGUCUUUUGCAUCCAUGAAUACACAAACUUUUUGAUGGAUAUUACUUCUGUCAAGUACAAAGAGAAGACUACUUUCAUCGAGCCAAGCCUUACAAGGACCAUCCUACCAUUGCAAGAAGCUGAAAAUGGAUUUUAGUGUAGUAAUACCGGUUAUCUUCCUUGAGGAGGCAAAUAAUGCACAUUACAACUCAAUUGACCUCAGGGCUUAUAGGAAGUCACAUAUUCAUGAUGGAGCAGCAGGUGAGUCAAGUUUGGAGUUGGAAAGAGGUUGACCUUCUUUUGCUGAUACCUAUUGUUUACUUCAAGUUAUCAAGAGAAAUUUCAUUUCAAUCCUGGUGACACUGGCUUUAAUGUAGUCUUGAGCGGCAGGAUCCCCAAACUAAAGUUUGCAAAAAUUGAAGAGUGUCUUAUUCAGCUAUACGUUGGGAUCAAUGGUUACCGAGGCAACUCGAGGUAUGAUUCUUCAAGGUGUUGAACUGUUUUAUACCACUGCCACUGGCUCUGGACCUCAAGACCAUGGAUUAGAUUCGGGUGAUCACUAGAGGAGAGUCAUGCAAGGCCACGCUGGAGCUAAUAUUAUGAGCUAUUAGCCCAAGGUAAAGCCUACACUUUUAUUUAUGCAAGAAUUAAGGUUGGUAGAAGGGAUUGUCAGACAGAAUUUCCUAAGUUGUUGGUUAGGUGAAUUUGGUUGCUAGACUAGGAUAUGGUAUAGUGUGCUUCUGAGAUUAGAAUUUUCUAAAAUGAUGAUUCUGAUUUUUAAAUUUGUGAGUCCCUGCUAUUUUCAAAUCUCUUUCAGAGAGACUGCCUGUAUAUUUUGUUUGAGGACAAGCAAAAGGGUAAAUCCGAGGGAGUUGAUAGGCCAUGGAUUUUAUCCACUUUUAGCAAUGGUUUAUAAGUGUUUUAAAAACUAAUUAUUAUGUUUUAGAGUCUAUUUAGUAUAUUUAUAGGAUCAUGAGUGAUUUGGAAGAAAGUGAUGAUUUUGGAGCAUUUUGGAGAUAAUUGGAGAGAGCAUCCGAGGUGACCAUCAAGCAAGACCAAUGGUCGACAUUCAGAGACAAUAAUCGAUCGAUGCACAUCUUGUGACAUUGAUCGACAGCGAAGCGCGCAGAAGCCCGUUUGGUUCCAGCCGACUUAUAGCCCAAGACUUCACCAAUUUACAUGAUUAUCCCUGACGAGUUUUAACCUAAUAUUUAUAGCUUGCCAAAGUGUUAGAGGCAAAGUGUGCUUUCUUGUUUUCUUAUUUUCACAGCAAAAGGUUUUCUAGGAUUUUAGCAGAGUUGGAGAAAAGAUCCAAAGAGAUUUGUGAUAGAAACUCCAUUAUUAUCUAUCUAUCUAUGCAGUUUUUAUACUUUAUUGUUGUUAUGAAUUGCUUACCUAUGUCUGAGUAGUUAUAUUGUUAGGUUUAGGGUUUAAAUAGGUUAUGAGGGAUUAGCCCCAACUAUAGAUUGCUAAGUUAGGAUAUUCAUCCUUAGAACUGUCAUUAAUGCAUGUUUUUAGUUUAGCUAGCUAGAACCUUGACCUAGGAGUUUAGGCACAAGUUAACACUUGAAUCUCACCAUGAAUCCGUCCUAAUUGAGCUAGGAUUGUUAGAGUAAGGCGAAGGCUGAUCUAGUAAGCCUAGUGAGCAUUAUUCAACCUGCGCGUAAAGCUUGACUAAGAACAUGUCGAUCGAUAUUCCUAUAAAAUAAUCGAUCGACGGUGCAAAAGGUGUAUCGAUUGAUAUUCCUCUAGAAUCAUCGAUCGACACUUAUAUCUGGUCAAUAGACAAACCUAGAAAGCGAACGCCGAUCGGUUUGUUCAUAAGUGUUUGAGCUCUAUUAUAUCAUGCAUAAAACUGUUAGGCAUCUGUAGGAUUAUAAUCCUGAUUACCUGAAUAGAAAUCCUAAGUCUAACUAUUUCAUUUAAGUGCCAAAAACUCAAUCAAGCCAAUCGAGCAACUGCCUUGCUCACAACAUGUUAUUUACAUUUAAACAUAAAUAACCUAGGUUAAUCAUUCUGAUUAGAUUUAUUUGGUUCCCUAGCUCCUUGUGGAUUCAAUCCUUGAGUAUUACAAUUGAACAUCUUAUUUGAGAGAGUAAUUCACUCCUUAAGGUAAUUGGAGUGAGAUCUUUCCGCGCUUAUAAGUAUUAAAAUCUAAUAAAAGUAAAAAUAUAUAUACUAUACUAAAAGGGAGAUAACUAGAGCGGGGAGAGUGUCCACCUCAGAUUAAAAAAUCAACCAAUCAGGGAAAUCCUUUAUGCCAUGUCAUUAGUUAUUGUCGAAAAUAAAGAUAAAAGGAAGCUUCGAUCAACCGCCUCUGCUUCUCUCACUUCGUCUUCUCGGUUACAUCUUCAUGAAAUCUACGUUAUAGCUACCAAUAUUAUCAAUAAAUUGUGUUCUUCAAGCUCCUCUUUACGAAUUCAUUUCUUAUCCUUUGUUUUUCCUUCUUUAUAAACCCUUCGCCUAGAUUUAAUCCAGUCAAAAACGAAAACCUCCACUAAAGAAGUUGAAGCUAUGGCGAUGAAACCCAAUGGAUAGUAAUCCACUAGAAAGUCUCCCGUCACCACCGGAAAGUCUCCCGUGCAGUAUGCUGUUAAAUUGUUUUGGCCGUGUGGCGAUUCUGAUUUUUAGGAACGAACGAACACACAUGAAUUUCAUAUGUUCAUGUCUUCCCUUCUUCAGGUUCAUUCCUUUAUUCAUAUAAUGGUUUCAUGGCCAAGCGUUAACCAUUCGAAAUAUUUGUCAUUCAGCUAUUUGAUAUGGUAUAUGGAGAAUUUUCAAGAUUUCUAUUCGGUUUGCUCUGGGUGAGAACAAAUCGUAAAAAGAUGCAGCCACAACAGGAAUAAAAAACACUAUGAAAAAAUUAUUACAAAGCAAAACGGUAAGAUUAUUACAGAGCAAAAAGAGUCCUUAAUCUUUGUUCCAAGAAUUUUGUUGUACCUGAUUUUGAAUGGUUUUGAUUGUCUUUAUGUAAGGAUCAAGCAUCUUCGCACAUGGUGUUCAAGAGAUCAUACAGAUGGACCUGAAGACAAGUAAGAUGAUCUUACCUGAUAAACACAUGCGGGCGAUUUCAGUUUGUCUAAAUUGGCAGUUGACAGAGCCUUUCAUGUCUCCGGCAUAUUGUCCAUGGCACAGUUGGAUAUCUGGAGCCCAAGUAAGCUAGACGCAUAUCUAACACCAAAAAAUACUUCAUAUAUCUUUAAUUUGUCAUUAAAAUACUGUUAUUAUUCUGAUGGUAAAAGGUAUAUAACUCUGGAGUCCUUUUUCGUGGGUCAAACUGUGGAGUCCUUCUUGAGCUUAUGUCAGGCGUAGGCGUAGAAGCCAUAUCGAAUGAACACUUCCGAGUUCAUUAUACAAGGUAUAUUACUAAUCUGAGCUUUUUUAUUUUUUAAUGAACAGGCGUACAAAACAAAGAAAUGUUGCUAAGUGUCGGUCAGGAAAUGGCACUUCUGAGCUGUAGAGUUUGGUUAAAACGUUUUUCAGCAAUAUGCACCAAACUGUGAUCGAGAAUCGUGGAUUAAGGUUCUCGACUUUGUUAGCAGGAUUUUCCAUGGAAGUGUAGUUUUUUUUUGUUGCUAACAUCGAUAGAAGUGUAGUUUUGAGAGGUACGAAGCUGUUAUGUAAUUGUGAGGAUUCUUGAGAAGAUUUGCGGUGGGUUAGCAGAAACAACAGCUGGCAAAUUAAUAGUAAUGUUUUCCAAGGUAAAAUACUGAUUGAAAGUGUACGGUUCUUUUGUUUAUUUAUGAGUGAAUAAUACUAUUGUCUGUUUAGUUUAACCCUUUCCAUUACCAUGUUUCUAAAGUGAUCGACUUAGACGCUGCGAAGAGUUUUGAAAAUGGAGAAGGUGUGCGUCUGAUAGCACCUCAGGAUGCCUGCAAGCUGCAACCAUUCAGCCAAGUAUAUUCGCACGGAAAUAUAGAUUGAUGGCGCGGACGGGUAAACACUCGAAUCUAGGAAAUAGUUGGCUCUGGAUGAAUCCAUUGAGAAGUUGCGACACAACGUCAAAGUCUUUCUCGACCGCCAGUGUCACGAUCUUGGGGGAGAAGAAGGCACAGUCUACGUGGUUAUCAGGUUUGAGAGAAUCGGAUGUGAAUAUUACUCUGUCUGUUUAGUCUAACCUUUUUCAUCACCAUGUUUCUGAAGAGAUCGAGUUAGACGCUGCAAAUAGUUGCAUGUGAGGGUGAGUAAAAUGGAAAGUGUGAGGAUAAGACAAUGAUGUUCAGGAGUUUACACCUGGCUCUCGAGACUUCACAAUAGAGAGCUUGAAGACAAAGCCAAAGAAGUACCAGAGCUGAAAACAGAGAGACAUAAGAAAAAACUUAAUAUAGACGAGGUCGAGGGUAUCGCGAGGCUGAAUCUAGCAGAGGCAGCCAUGUUAUAGCUUAAAGCUAACAAAGCAUAACGGGAGUCUGAGAGGUUGUAAAGAUUGUACUACGAAAACGGAAAAGUUUGAGGAGGAAUACGCAAGUAACUUCUGAACAGAGGUUGGCCAAGGCUGAGGCAGAGAAGCAAUAUAUGUUUGAGAAGAUUAACCUGACGGAAAAUUCAAGCUCGCAUCACAAAGUAGUGGUGGUGGAGGAGACCCGUCACAUGUGUGAUGUACUCAAAGAUCUGUGAUCUACUUCAUGGUAACAAUCUCACGCCUAAGGUAGAUCCUCAAUCAAAAGAGCACCAUCCUUUCAUAUCCAAACAUUGACGCUUCUUCCCUUCUAAGUUUGUUAAUUUUGUGUAAACAAGAUCUUUUAAUAAACAAGAGUGUAGAUAUGUGGAAUCUUUCUCAGGCCAAGAAGCUUUGCUUAAUUUGGAGAGUCAUGGUUUAUUUUAUAUGAUAUAU